AGAGCCAGCCAAACAGUCGCUCAACGGUAGUUGGGAGGAAAGUCCGGGCUCCAUCGGGCAGAGUGCCAGGUAACCCCUGGGAGGCGCGAGCCUACGGAAAGUGCAACAGAAAGAAUACCGCUGCCGUCAGGCAGUAAGGGUGAAAUGGUGUGGUAAGAGCACACCGCGUUGGUGGUAACAUUAACGGCGAUGGUAAACCCCACUCGGAGCAAGGCCAAAUAGGAAUCCUGAUUGUGUGGCCCACACAGUGGAUUCGGGUAGGCUGCUUGAGGUACAUGGUGACAUGUAUCCCAGAUAGAUGACUGUUCAUGACAGAACCCGGCUUAUCGGCUGGCUCUCCAA
rnacentral:RNase_P_RNA from 19 species